rnacentral:lncRNA from 1 species
CUCCUGGGAUUGGGGCACACAAGCGGGGGCUGGACAGAACCCCGGACUCCUAGAUCCAGAGAAAAGGGGCUUGGGGCCUAGAUCUUUAAGUCUUAGACCUCUAGGUCGGAGGGAAGAGGGCCGCGAGUCUAAGGGAGCAUAAGUGGGGCCUGGAUUCCUGGUGCUGAAGGAGGUGAUCUGUGUGUCUGGACCACUGGACAAGGAAAGGAACGGGUUGAGAGCCAAGGCACAAGGUGUGGGGCAGAAAAGAGCUAGCACCUGGCCCCGUAUUUUAGAUGACGACACACUUUGUGAGUCCUACGGCUUAAAGUCUUCAUUUUCAGAGGGGUUGUCCUGCUUAAACCGUCUUCUAUCCCCAACGCCCGCAUCCUUUAGAGAGUAGCCCAAUACCAGGCAUCCAAGCUUUAAUCCCAGUGACUCAGCAGAUAGAGGAGGGGGCCAGGCUGAGUCAGGAAUGGCAAAAGGUUCCCAGUCUCCAGGGAAUCGAAACUGGAAUUACUCCUCCAUGAUCCAGUCCCUGCUGGCCUCCAAAAAACCCCGACAUGCCCCACCCCAACCCUCGCUUUUUGCGUUUGGUCCUAAAAUUGGCUGGCUCAGGGAUUUGUAAACUGGGCGGGAGGCAAGUUUUUGUGCCCCUCCUUCCCUUCUUUUCCCGUUGUCCUCGAGACUGUUUACAACAGACUGGAACCCUGGUUACAAGAGAAGGAACCCAAGCGUCCGGGCUGAGCGUCCUCGUCACGGCUUCCAGGAAGCCCCCCCUCCCCCGCCCUAAGCGAGUGAGUCACGGGCGAGCGGGAGGCCGCAACCGUGCCACAGCAGCCUAUGGCCCGCCCUGCUCACGGGACCAGCCCAGGAAGGCCCCUUGGCCCCAGAAAGCGCUGCACCAGGGAUUCCCCCCAACCCCCUCUCCUAUGAGGCAAGCCAGUAAGUAGCCUGGCAGAAUCUCCCUACCUCGAUACGCAACGCACCGUGUGAGAACUUCCCAGCAUGGUAAUUACACUCCUGGCAAUGAUAACCCCCAUACACAAGAACUCUUUUUCACUGGAGAUAUCCUUGAAAUAACACUUUUGACUUGGGUGUGGCGGCCAUGCCUGUAAUCCUAACACUACUUGGGUGGUGGAGACUGGAGGAUCGCAAGUUCCAAGCCGGCUAAGGAGACCGACUGAAAAGCAAAAACCUUACAGAUCUCCAGAGAGUUGAGUUAAGACUGCUUGCAUUACUAGAAACCCAUUCAACGUUGAAGGUGGCCCAUUCUUUCAAUAGAGCAGAGCUUCCUCCCUAAUAAAAGACGUAAGCUGUUCCAACCUUGA